GACGCUCGACCGCGUUCGAUAAUCGUCAAAUUUUCUUGUUCCAACACUUCUCUUAGGGGAGCUUGGCUGGUGGCGGGUACGGCCUCAAGCCGUUCGCGUCGGCCGCGGGCACCCACCUGGUAAACCAGGGACAAAUUGAGUGGCGACCGGCGUCGGUGGAGCGUCC
rnacentral:other from 1 species